UGGUUACAAUAGCAGAGAGGAUACACCUGUUCCCAUUCCGAACACAGAAGUUAAGCUCUCUAGCGCUGAUGGUACU
rnacentral:rRNA from 1 species